rnacentral:misc_RNA from 1 species
GUACAUUAGUGCUUGCGCACAACAAUAGGUUUCAUUACAUUCGAGUGUGUGUAAAAAUCCUCUGCCGGCCGAAGCUAGCAAGAGGCCAAAGGUUCACAGGGUAUUGGAUGAAAGUCACCAACGUGCACUUGCCGAAGCCGGCCAGCACUGAAGGCAACGAUUCGCAAUCAGUAAUGAUCCUUCCGCAGGUUCACCUACGGAAA